GUCAGCUCGUGUCGUGUAGAUGUUGGUUAAGUCCGCAACGAGCGCAACCCUCGACCUUAGUUGCCAGCAUUCAGUUGGGCACUCUAAGGUGACUGCCGGCUAAAAGUCGGAGGAAGGUGGGGAUGACGUCAAAUCAUCAUGCCCUUAUGACCUGGGCUACACACGUGCUACAAUGGGCGGUACAAAGGGUCGCGAACCCGCGAGGGGGAGCCAAUCCCAAAAAGCCGCUCUCAGUUCGGAUUGCAGGCUGCAACUCGCCUGCAUGAAGCCGGAAUCGCUAGUAAUCGCGGAUCAGCAUGCCGCGGUGAAUACGUUCCCGGGCCUU
rnacentral:rRNA from 1 species